rnacentral:rRNA from 1 species
UACGGAGGGUGCAAGCGUUAUCCGGAUUUACUGGGCUUAAAGGGCGCGCAGGCGGAUUGGUAAGUCAGUGGUGAAAUACCCGUGCUUAACAUGGGAACUGCCAUUGAUACUAUCAGUCUUGAAUGUUGUUGAGGUUUGCGGAAUGGGUCAUGUAGCGGUGAAAUGCAUAGAUAUGACCCGGAACACCUAUUGCGAAGGCAGCAGGCUAAACAAAUAUUGACGCUGAGGCUCGAAAGCGUGGGGAUCAAACAGG